UGGGGAAUUUUGGACAAUGGGCGAAAGCCUGAUCCAGCAAUGCCGCGUGUGUGAAGAAGGCCUUCGGGUUGUAAAGCACUUUUGUCCGGAAAGAAAUCCUUGGCUCUAAUACAGUCGGGGGGAUACGGUACCGGAAGAAUAAGCACCGGCUAACUACGUGCCAGCAGCCGCGGUAAUACGUAGGGUGCAAGCGUUAAUCGGAAUUACUGGGCGUAAAGCGUGCGCAGGCGGUUUGCUAAGACCGAUGUGAAAUCCCCGGGCUCAACCUGGGAACUGCAUUGGUGACUGGCAGGCUAGAGUAUGGCAGAGGGGGGUUAGAAUUCCACGUGUAGCAGUGAAAUGCGUAGAGAUGUGGAGGAAUACCGAUGGCGAAGGCAGCCCCCUGGGCCAAU
rnacentral:rRNA from 1 species